CAAGAACAACCAGCACCAAAUGAGUUGCUGUGGUGGAGAGCAAGCUGUGCUCCGAGACUAAUUGCUGCACUUGUUAGAGUGUACAAGAAGGCCUCCCGAGUCUUCCUCUGGACAGAAAUUUGCUACUCUGAAUCUAAGCCCAUAAUAUUUCUGGAAUAUAAUUAAAAACUAAGUCAAUUCCUCCAACUGAUGAACAUGGAAGAUUAGCCCUGAGCUAACCACUGCCAGUCCUCCUCUUUUUUGCUGAGGAAGCCUGGCCCUGAGCUAACAUCCGUGCCGAUCUUCCUCUAUUCUAUAUGUGGGACGCCUACCACAGCAUGGUGUGCCAAGCAGUGCCAUGUCCGCACCCGGGAUCCGAACCGGCAAACCGUGGGCUGCUGAGAAGCGGAACGUGCAAACUUAACCGCUACGCCACAGGGCUGGCCCUACCUUUUUCUUUCUUUCUUUCUUUCUUUUGAGGAAGAUUAGCCCUGAGCUAACAUCUGCUGCCAAUCCUCCUCUUUUUGCUGAGGAAGACUGGCCCUGAGCUAACACCUGCGCCCAUCUUACUCUACUUUAAAUGCGGGACGCCUGCUACAGCAUGGUUUGCCAAGCAGUGCCACAUCCGGCCCGGGAUCCAAACCGGUGAAUCCCGGGCUGCUGAAGCGGAACAUGCGUACUUGACGGCUGCGCCACCAGGCUGGCCCCAUCUUUUACCUUUUUCUAUGCCUUCUACACUAUACAGAAGAAACCCAAUUCAUUUUUGACAUAUGCUAGCUCUUUAAAUGUUUUCAUUUCUUCUAUAUCCAAAACUCUUUCUCAUAGAACACUACCACCACCAUGACAAUCACCUCUUAGCAUCUUAUUCCUCUCUGCUUAUAUCCCAGGUUUCAGAAUCACUCAGUGUAUGGCACUCAGAAUUGAUCACACUACUUUAGCUAAUAUCUGACCAACUGAUAUUACAGAAUACCUGGUACUAUCACCUCCCUCAUUCCACGUACUUUCUUCCUAUUGAUGUAAUCUAAAUUUCAAUUGACUUUUAGAAUAGCCAUGUUACAUGAUAAUCCCAUGGUGAAUUUACCAAUCAAAUAACACUACUUUUUUCUCAUAAAAAAAAUGUUGUAAAUCCUGAUCUCUCUUCCUUGUUGUCUAUGUGUG
ensembl:lncRNA